rnacentral:lncRNA from 1 species
CCUGUCUCUCCAAUUUCCACAAGUGGAUCAUCCUGAUUCUCUGCUGUCUCUUACUUUGGCAACUCAACAACAAAUGAUUAGCAUAGACAAAAGAAUUGAAGGAAGGAAGAAGCCGAAUCCUUGGUGUUUUUGAAGAGAACAAAAAAAAACUAUUUGAUGUGAACUUUUUGGAAUACUUGGCUGCUCCCUCAGUCAACAAGAAGUACAACCACCCUCAAGUUCAUUCCUCCUAGCCAAUGAAAGAGAAAUACUUCUCUGGACCCGAAAAAAAAGAUGGAUUAAAGGGACACAUUUAGGCAUUAUUAAAAGAUGGGUCCACAUGAAACCAUCAUUGGGAUGACAUUCAAUAAGGAAGAAAAAAGAAUAAUGAUA